GACGAACGCUGGCGGCGUGCCUAACACAUGCAAGUCGAGCGGGGAUUUAAGUGGAAGUUCUUCGGAAUGGAGAUUUAAAUUCUAGCGGCGGACGGGUGAGUAACGCGUGAACAAUCUGUCCCGGACAGGGGGAUAACACUUGGAAACAGGUGCUAAUACCGCAUAAGACCACGGCCUCGCAUGGGGCUGAGGUAAAAGGAGCAAUCCGGUUCGGGGUGAGUUCGCGUCCGAUUAGCUAGUUGGUGAGGUAACGGCCCACCAAGGCGACGAUGGGUAGCCGGCCUGAGAGGGUGAACGGCCACAUUGGAACUGAGAGACGGUCCAACCUCCUACGGGAGGCAGGAGGGGGGAAUAUUGGGCAAGGGGCGAAAGCCUGACCCAGCAACGCCGCGUGGGGGAAGGAGGUUUUCGGAUUGUAAACCUCUGUCCUAUGGGAAGAAGGAAGUGACGGUACCAGAGGAGGAAGCCCCGGCUAACUACGUG
rnacentral:rRNA from 1 species